rnacentral:lncRNA from 1 species
ACACCCACAUUCUUAAGAAUCUACUGAGUCCCAUUUGAAUGGAAUUUCCAAAGAGUGAAGGAUAAACGGUAUGAAUAUGUGCAAAUGGUUGAAAUCAUGGAGUAGGAUGCAAGUCCCAUCCCCAGGAACUCAUACUUAGAUAAGACUGGAUUCAAUUUAGCGAAGACGAGGAAGAAAGGAAGGAACAUCAUUGGUCAACGUGCCAUCAUUGAGGUACCUGGCCAGCGUGGGGGAAAUGUCACCAUAUGCACAGUGAUGAGCCACAACGGGGUCCUCCACCGCCAUGCCACCCUAAGUACCAUACAACUCUGCCCAUCUCCUCAAUUUCCUGAACACCUCACAUGACAAUCUUUUUCAGUCAGAGAGUAUGUUCAAAUGUAUGUUCUAAUUUGGGACAACUUGAGUUUCCAUCGGGCUGCUCAGGUCCGCAACUGGUUCCAUGACCAUCCCAGGUUUACAAUUCUCUAUCUCCCACCAUAUUCCCCAUUUCUCAACCCCAUUGAGGAGUUGUUUUCAGCAUGGCGGUGGAAGGGGAAUGAUUGCAAACCCCAUGAACAUAUGGCCCUUCUCCAGGCAAUUGAAGAGACCUGUGGUGACAUUCCAGCAGAGUCCUGUCAGGGGUGGAUGCGUCAUGCCAGAAGAUAUUUCCCCAGCUGUCUGGACAAGGAGAAUAUCGCCUAUGAUGUUGAUGAAAAUCUGCGGCCGGACCAAAACAAAAG